rnacentral:rRNA from 1 species
AGCCAUCCUUUAAAGAGUGCGUAAUAGCUCACUGGUCGAGCGAUUUUGCGCCGAAAAUGUAACGGGGCUCAAGUUCACAACCGAAGCUACGGACUUGCAUCGCAAGAUGUGAGUGGUAGGGGAGCAUUCUCUGUGCAGUGAAGGUUGACCGACAAGGACAACUGGAGCGCAGAGAAGAGAUUAUGCAGGCAUAAGUAGCGAUAAACGAUGUGAGAAUCAUCGUCCCCGUAAGCCUAAGGUUUCCUGGCCUAUGUUCGUCAGGUCAGGGUGAGUCGGAUCCUAAGCCGAGGUCGACAGACGUAGGCGAUGGCAAACAGGUCAAUAUUCCUGUACCACCGUAUUGACGUUAUCAGCGAAGGGGGGACGCAGAAGGGUAGGCACCGCCGGGUCCCUGGAAUACCCGGUCCAAGCAGGUAGGCGGGAGUUGUAGGCAAAUCCGCAAUUCCGUUAACGCCGAGAUGUGAUGGGGAGGCCGCAAGGCCAUAAACGGGCUGAUCCCACGCUGCCGAGAAAAUCCUCGUAGCGAGUCAAUAUGAUGUCCGUACCGCAAACCGACACAGGUAGGUGGGUGGAAUACACCAAGGGGCGUGAGAGAACACUCCCUAAGGAACUAUGCAAUUUAGCCCCGUAACUUCGGGAGAAGGGGUGCCCUGCGUAAGUGAGGCCGUACAGGCCAAGCUGAACAGGGUUGCAAUAAAGUGGCUCUAGCGACUGUUUACCAAAAACACAGGACUCUGCAAACACGAUAGUGGAUGUAUAGGGUCUGACGCCUGCCCGGUGCUGGAAGGUUAACCGGAGGAGUUAGCCGCAAGGCAAAGCUUUGAAGGGAAGCCCCAGUAAACGGCGGCCGUAACUAUAACGGUCCUAAGGUAGCGAAAUUCCUUGUCGGGUAAGUUCCGACCUGCAUGAAUGGCGUAACGAUUGCUCCGCUGUCUCAACCAGGGACUCAGCGAAAUUAUAAUGGGGGUGAAGAUACCCUCACCCCGCGGCAAGACGGCAAGACCCCGUGAACCUUUACUAUAGCUUGACAGUGAACUUCGGAAUAUCAUGUGUAGGAUAGGUGGGAGGCUAUGAAGCGUUGGCGCAAGCUGGCGCAGAGCCAACCUUGAAAUACCACCCUUGUUGUUUUGAGGUUCUAACUCAGGUCCCUUAAUCGGGAUCGAGGACAUUGUCUGGUGGGUAGUUUGACUGGGGCGGUCGCCUCCAAAAAUGUAACGGAGGCGCACUAAGGUCGGCUCAGGCUGA